rnacentral:rRNA from 1 species
UACGUAGGGGGCGAGCGUUGUCCGGAUUUAUUGGGCGUAAAGAGCUCGUAGGCGGUUUGGCAAGUCGGGUGUGAAAACUCCGGGCUCAACUCGGAGACGCCACUCGAUACUGCCAUGACUCGAGUCCGGUAGGGGAGUGCGGAAUUCCUGGUGUAGCGGUGAAAUGCGCAGAUAUAAGGAGGAACACCGGUGGCGAAGGCGGAUCUCUGGGCCGAUACUGACGCUGAGGAGCGAAAGCGUGGGGAGCGAACAGG